GUGCGUUCGCUUUGAAAAAGUGAUAAGAAUGUCAGUAAACAAGAAACAUUACAAUGCCAUUUUUAGCAUCAAGGCGUUGGGUUAUUUAUUCAAAACUAAUACUCAAAAAAUGGCAGGGUAUGUAUUUUUCAAGGAAUAUGUGCGACAUGAGGUCUGUAUAUAAACUCAGCUAUUGACGUCAAACUAGGGUCUAUGACGCACAAGCUUGGCAAACUGAGGAAAUGUGCGGUUUGGGUAAUUACAUUUCGUGAUUUUUACCGCGGUCAAAGAAAUAUUCGUUAUUCACUUCUGUUUGAUCAUAA